rnacentral:rRNA from 1 species
GUGGGGAAUUUUGGACAAUGGGGGCAACCCUGAUCCAGCCAUGCCGCGUGCGGGAAGAAGGCCUUCGGGUUGUAAACCGCUUUUAGUCGGGAAGAAAAGGCGCGGGUUAACACCUCGUGUUUUUGACGGUACCGGCGGAAUAAGCACCGGCUAACUACGUGCCAGCAGCCGCGGUAAUACGUAGGGUGCGAGCGUUAAUCGGAAUUACUGGGCGUAAAGCGUGCGCAGGCGGUUCGUUGUGUCGGUGGUGAAAUCCCCGGGCUUAACCUGGGAAUGGCCAUGGAAACUGGCGAACUGGAGUGUGGCAGAGGGGGGUGGAAUUCCGCGUGUAGCAGUGAAAUGCGUAGAGAUGCGGAGGAACACCGAUGGCGAAGGCAGCCCCCUGGGCUAGCACUGACGCUCAGGCACGAAAGCGUGGGGAGCAAACAGGAUUAGAUACCCGAGUAGUCC